AUUUUACCCUAAAUAAUUAACUAAUCAAUUUCUUCUUUAUUUCCUAGUUUAUUUGCGUAGAAGUGUUUAUAUUAUUCUCUGAUGGUAGUCUGUAUUUCUCUGGGAUUGGUGGUGAUAUCCCCUUUAUCAUUUUUUAUUGUGUCUAUUUGAUUCUUCUCUCUUUUCUUCUCUAU